UACGUAGGGGGCAAGCGUUGUCCGGAAUCAUUGGGCGUAAAGAGCGUGUAGGCGGCCCGAUAAGUCCGCUGUGAAAGUCCAGGGCUCAACCCUGGGAUGCCGGUGGAUACUGUCGGGCUCGAGUCCGGAAGAGGAGUGUGGAAUUCCUGGUGUAGCGGUGGAAUGCGCAGAUAUCAGGAGGAACACCAAUAGCGAAGGCAGCUCGCUGGGACGGUACUGACGCUAAGGCGCGAAAGCGUGGGGAGCGAACAGG
rnacentral:rRNA from 1 species